rnacentral:tRNA from 1 species
GGGGAUUUAGCUUAGUGGCAUAAGCGCCUGCCUGGCAAGCACAAUUAUUAUAGCAAUUCCCA